CUUCCCUUUGUCUCUCCUGAAUCUUCCAACAUUCAUCUUCAUUUGAUGUCUAGAACUCACAGAUAUCCAGUGAAACUGAAUGUUGGGAGAUUCAGGAGAGACAAAAGAAAG